UCAGGAUAUAGGGGGCCACUGUCUGGCAGGGGCACUGAUGCAGGCAGUUGAACUUCUAUCAGUUUCUAAACCAUACCGUCUUUGGUUCCAUUCUCGUGUGGAUAGCUAAGUGAGUAUUCCAGUCUAAGGUUCUUCAGAGGCUGUACCUUACCUCCCAGGCCUGCGAAAGAAUCCAGCGCUCCAUCGCCUGAGACCUCUGAAACAAAAAGUAGGCCUAGAGGAGGAGGCCACUAUCACUGGAGAGAGAGGAAUAACACCAUCCCCAGCCAGGCUGAGUAUACACAGUCCUAGCUCCCCCUGCAGAUUACAAGAGAGGGAUCUGUCACGCCUUCAGCCAGCAUGCAUAAAUACUGUGGACUUGUUGAGAACACUCAUGAGUCCAACAAAGAUGAAGAGGUAGAAGGAGACAAUGGGGGAAGAAGGAGAAAUGGGAACUAUAGCUCCAGGAGGUGGGACAGUGGUGGCCCGGGUGGACAGAGCGGGCCAGGUUACAGAAUCCAACCCUGGGGACCCCCAUGGAGGAAGGAGUCUGGCUCAACAAGAAGAAGAAGAGGAGGAAGCUGAAGAAGAAACAUCAUAAACAGAAGCUCUUGUAUCUAGGUCUGGUGCCCCGUGCUGCAGCUCAAGUUCACCUACGAGAGCGAGGAGGAUGGGAGGGGGGGAGGAAGAGAUGAGGCAGAGAAGAGCAGCUGAAGUGAUAAUCUUCCUCAGGACCACACAAGAUCUACGUGUCUGAUUGUGAGUGUGACAUACCAAGGCUGCUAAUCAACACAGAUACGGUCACAUAUAGCCUAGGCUGUGUUUCAGUCUUCCUAAGAGCUGACCAAAAGUGCUGAAGCAUAGUUCAUUUUAUAGCUUUCGGAUUGGCAGAAAAUAAAUAAUUUGAACAGCACUGUGCAGAGCACACGCAAAUGAAAGUGAAAGCACAGCUCAUUAAUCACUAGCCUAUAACAACUUGAGGACCUUGAGAGAUUUAGGAAUCGAGGUGUAGAGGUGCAUUGAGGUGUUUGGGUUUACUUCAUCAUGCUCAAAUGUAAUGGACAGGCUCAGUCAUCUGGUCUGUCAUAAUCCCUCCAUGACUUGCCUCUGGAGGACUAGACAGACAGUCAGUCCAAAGAAUCCCAUUGGUUCCAGGGAUUAAGGUUUCUCUGUUGGUGAAUUACUGCAGAAGGCUAAGAAGGAAGACCUCUGGAAAUGUCCACAGUAGUUCAGUUAAAGGGGCUACAUGCUCCUGUUCCUUAUAUGCUCCUCAGUCUAGAGAUAGACCAGGGGAUUAAACACAGGCCCGUUCAGCAACGGAGCUUAUAAUGGUUGGUGGAGUAAUAGUAUACUUAAUCCACUACCAAGCAGGUUCAUCUGGUAGUGGAGGGUCUUCUGACCAGCCUGUACAAUGGAACAUUCCUCCCCUGCUGUUUUGGCCCAGCUCCACAGCCUCUAGUCCCUGGUGCAGCAACAGGACACAGCAAGGAUGGCAAAGAAUCUGCAGGAGCUCCAGAACAGCUCUACCAUGUCUACUGGUGAGUAGUCUUAUCUGGUUUUACCUCGCCUGGAUUAACCUGCGUUUGUCUGAGCUCGCCAUUCGCGUACACAUGCAUACAGUCACCGGUCAGUAUCAGCCCUCACCUGUCCUUAAAUACCAGACCACACCUGUCUAUACUAUCACUUACCUAUACAUGCAUGCUCUCACCUAUCUAAACACUAACCAGUUUGAAAAUCACCAGCGUCUCCUGCCAUUCAUUCACCUGGAGUUUCACCCAAGAGCUGCCAGGAGACCACACUUUGUACAGGUCUAGGAAUUGUGAACGAGAUGACCUCAGGUGAUGCCACUGCAGUUGUGUCCCUGUUUCAGUACUGGAUCACAGACAAUCCCGCCCAUGCCGAGAGAAUGGAAAACAGGCCAACCUACAACAUAACCUUCCUAGUCGAGCCAACCAACAACACAGCCUUAGACUUUCCUAGAUGUUCAGGGUUUUAAACAACACUGCUGACGGAAAACUUGUCUGACUUAAUUCAUUGUGAGCCCAUGUAACAGAGUUAAGUACAUACCGUAAGCUCACUCCACAGCUAGCUUGAAAUGUCGCGGAUGGAGCCAUCCAAUCGGUACCUUUUGGGUGGCUCAAACCGUUGGAAUGUUGUCAAGGAGGGCGGCCACGUGUGUUUACAAAGCAGAGGUCCCGAGUUUGAGCCGGGUACGAGCCGAAUCAGGGGGAAGUGAUACCAGACACAAUUAAUUAACCGUUUAAUAGAUUUUCCCCACAGAAAAGUGUGGCGAGCGAGCGUAUAAAAACAUUAAGUGGAUAAGGAAUAACAGUACUUUACCACAUUGUCCUAUGCACCUGUGCGGGCUCUAGGUCUAGUGUGAGCUUCAAGAGUUAUAUUAUUCCAUGUGAAAACCUACACUAUUUUUCUGUUACAAUGUUGUUAUAACCAUGAGAAAUGAAACAGACUAAAGUAUAGCUUGUGACAGUUUCGUUAUUCCUGAUAAAAAAAAAACGUCUCUCUGAUACACACAACCGUUCAAAAGUUUAGGGUCACUUAGAAAUGUCCUUGUUUUUGAAAGAAAAGAGAAGAGAAAAAAAAGUCCAUUAAAAUAACAUCCAAUUGAUCAGAAAUACAGUGUAGACAUUGUUAUAAAUGACUUCUUUUUUUAAUGGAAUAUCUACAUAGCCGUACAGAGGCCCAUUAUCAGCAACCAUCACUCCUGUGUUAGCUAAUCUUAAAUGUAUCCUUUUAAAAGGCUAAUUGAUCAUUAGAAAACACUUUUGCAAUUAUGUUAGCACAGCUGAAAACUGUUGUUCUGAUUAAAGAAGCAGUAAAACCGGCCUUUAGACUAGUUGAGUAUCUGGAGCAUCAGCAUCUGUGGGUUUGAGUGUGUGGCAUGCUUGAACAGAGGCAUUUGUGGUUCUGUGGUCUGGCCCACCAUCAGAUUGAAUGAUCAAGAUUGACUUGUUGAGAGACACAUCAUCUUCACUCUAGUUCUCUCCACUGAGGAUGCUGAGAUUUUCAACUGUAUGUCAAAGGUGGCUGGAUGGCUAGAAAACCUUGUCCUUGACAGUGACAUGAACUUUCCCAUCAUAGAAUGAACUAGAUGGAGAUGCUGGGAUCAACAUGACAGAUGGUACAAGUCCACUGAUGUGGUAAUCAUGGUCGGCAGCUGCUAGAACUGGCCCACUCACAGGAGCAAUGCUUGGAUGUCUGCCUCUGUUACGGGUCCCUAUAGGCUGGCCAGGUUCUCCGACAGGGAUGAUUGCCUAAUCAUCCACACAUAACAUUUCACUGUCCUGCCACAUGCAGGCAAACUGUUUUAAUGUAGUUCCAAACUUUUGAGUCUUGAUGUCCCUUUAUCACCCGAGACUGGACCAUGAACUUGACGUCAAACCUUCCUGUGUACUGGAGAGCAGACAUGGACCAUGGAUUCUUGGGUGUAAACUGCAGUCUUAGCCACUGUAUUGAUGGGAUUUUAGUUUUUGGUGGAAGCCGCUUUUCCACUUUGUCACACAAGUCCUCAACUUAUAUAUAUUACCUUUUAUUUAACUAGACAUGUCAGUGAAGAACAAAUUCUUAUUUUCAAUGAUGGCCUAGGAACAGUGGGUUAACUGCCUUGUUCAGGGGUAGAACGACAGAUUUUUACCUUGUCAGCUCAGGGAUUUGAUCUUGCAACCUUUCGGUUACUAGUCCAAUGCUCAAACCACUGUCGCCCCAUGUCUGCAAUCGUUGACCUGAGCUGUGUAUUCGUUAAAAUACUUCUGUACUUCAUCCCAAAAGGGCUGAAAUGAGGAUUGUGGUUUGCCAUUCAGCUUCCUUAAAAAGAAGGAACAAGGAUACUCUCUCAUCAAUUAGGCCCUGUCCAUCAUCGUUUGCUUAACCCUUGUCGUCUGUCAGAAACUGAUACAUUUCUCUCAGGAAGUAGCUGUUCACUUUGCAGCGUGUGCGUAUUUGUUCAUGAAUGUUUUUUUGCAUUGCUCUAGUGUGGAGUAUGUUGGUAUUUCUUUUCUCAGUGUGGCGAUGACAGAAGCUUGCCUGGUCUCAUGAACACCAUUGCUAUGUGAGGAUACCUUCCAUAUGAAUGUCAGAGUGCCUAGGUGGUUACCACAGGUAUACUUGUAUACAGUGAAAGUCAAUGGAAGUUUCAAGUUGUCAAUCCAUUUCCUUCUCCGGAAUCUGUCUUCAGGAGCAAAGUCCAGUAGAAAGAGGAGGGUGGUAUUGCGGCACUUUCUCCAAAGCUUGUAACAGAGUGCUGGACUUGGGGCUGACCGGUCUACAUGAUGCCCUCACAGUGUAGCAUAAAACAUCAGACUGGUGUACGUAGGGAGUGGGCUGUUGGUGACAUCUGGUCAUUGCUUGAUUCACCUUCUCCCAGUGGGAUGCAAAAGCUGCUAUGGACUCUGUUAGACACACCACAUCUUCUCCGAGAACUAAUGUGAACAAGGAAUACAGGCAGUUUUAGUUGAGAGGUUUAAAACAUAAAGCUUACACGUUUUACAUUUCCUGAAUAAAUGGUGACAUUUUACAAUAUCAGACACAGUAUGUUUGACAUGAAUCUACAAGGAGUAGUAGUGUGCCACAAACUUAAUUGAUAUAGAAGAAUGACACAAUACAUUCAUUAAAAUACCUGUGAAGUGAAUCCAGUGUGCCCAGGGCUGGGAUAUUGAGAUAGACAGCUGACUGCAAUGAAGCUGAAUUUGACUUAGUUUUGGUGUCUUGUGUUGUGUUUCCUGGUACCUGUUGUUGGAUCCAAGGCCUUGUGGUAAUUGCAGUAAUCUGUCUGGUAUGGCUAAGCCUCCCUCUUUAAACUUCUCUAGAUGGAGGUCCAUAUACCAGAGUGCUUUUGAUAAUCGGGUAACGAAUGUCCUGGCUAUAUGGACAUGAAAAAUAGGAGAAAUAUUAUAUUUCAUCCUGAUUAUCAGAUUAUUAAUACACAAAUGAACAUUGUUCACAUAGGAUAUAUAAUAGAAUGAUAUAUAUUCAAAAAUGACUGGGAAAAAAGUUAUGAAUGUAUGUAUUAUCAGUUCAUUUAUCUACUUAAUUGUAUAGCCUAACAAGGUAUUAACAAAUGAAGACAAUACAAAUAUAAAGGCCUUUCAUAAACUACCCUUUCUAGGAAAAAUAUGCCAUUAUUAAUAAAGGGCAAUCAUUUGAAUUGGGUCAAACUAAUGGAAAAAGUGCAGUCCAAUCUCGUAAUUUAAUGUGAUGUAUAGGGUAAUAGAGUAGACAAAAAAAAUCUAAUUCAAGAAUGAUUGACAAUAAAUAAUUGUAAUCAGAUUAAAAUGUUGAUGUAUAAUAAUGAGUUCAUUACCUGACUGCAUCUCUAUAGCCUAGGCGUUAACAAAAUAUUCAUACAAAUAUGAUUAGGCCUCUCAUAGACUAGGCCUUGUAGAAAAAGGGUCAAUCAAGUUAGGUCUGCCAAAUGAAUCUAGCAUUGGCAAAAAUACAUGAAUCCAACCAUAGAGUAUUGCCUAUCAUCACCAAAUAAAAAAUGUUGUUUUUAACGUGCACAAUUAGAAGCAUCAAAUCUAUUGAGCAAGCUUGACUAAGUUCGAGCCCUGUAACUUUGCUCACCACAUCCUCCUUUGAUUGUCUCGUCUGGCUGCCACGAAAAGCCCCCACCUUGGAGACAGUCGAUCACAUCAUUGUGGAGCUGCUGAUCAGCACGAAGUGUGUGCGUGCCACUGGCGAUGUACUACGCUGGACAUGUUCUCGGCGGCGCAUUAUC
rnacentral:lncRNA from 1 species